rnacentral:rRNA from 1 species
GAUGAACGCUGGCGGCGUGCCUAACACAUGCAAGUCGAACGAAGCACUUUGUUACGAUCCCUUCGGGGUGACGACUUUGUGACUGAGUGGCGGACGGGUGAGUAACGCGUGGGAAACCUGCCCUAUACCGGGGGAUAACAGUUGGAAACGACUGCUAAUACCGCAUAAGCGCACGAGAUGGCAUCAUCUCGUGUGAAAAACUCCGGUGGUAUAGGAUGGUCCCGCGUCUGAUUAGCUAGUUGGUGAGGUAACGGCCCACCAAGGCGACGAUCAGUAGCCGACCUGAGAGGGUGACCGGCCACAUUGGGACUGAGACACGGCCCAAACUCCUACGGGAGGCAGCAGUGGGGAAUAUUGCACAAUGGGCGAAAGCCUGAUGCAGCGACGCCGCGUGAGCGAUGAAGUAUUUCGGUAUGUAAAGCUCUAUCAGCAGGAAGAACAAAUGACGUAC